GGAGAGGUCGCAUAGUGGCCGAGUGCGCACGCUUGGAAAGCGUGUAAGGGUAACACCUUCGCGGGUUCGAAUCCCGCUCUCUCCGCCA
rnacentral:tRNA from 1 species